AUAUUGGACAAUGGGCGCAAGCCUGAUCCAGCCAUACCGCGUGGGUGAAGAAGGCCUUCGGGUUGUAAAGCCCUUUUGUUGGGAAAGAAAAGCAAUCGGCUAAUACCCGGUUGUUCUGACGGUACCCAAAGCAUAAGCACCGGCUAACUUCGUGCCAGCAGCCGCGGUAAUACGAAGGGUGCAAGCGUUACUCGGAAUUACUGGGCGUAAAGCGUGCGUAGGUGGUUGUUUAAGUCUGUUGUGAAAGCCCUGGGCUCAACCUGGGAAUUGCAGUGGAUACUGGGCGACUAGAGUGUGGUAGAGGGUAGUGGAAUUCCCGGUGUAGCAGUGAAAUGCGUAGAGAUCGGGAGGAACAUCCAUGGCGAAGGCAGCUACCUGGACCAACACUGACACUGAGGCACGAAAGCGUGGGGAGCAAACAGG
rnacentral:rRNA from 1 species